ACAAAACUGGCUCACGUUAGAUGGUUUAGACUGCUAACUCAAAGAAAAAUGCCAAAAAGUUGUAUUAGCUGCUGGUAAACAGAUGCAAAUCUGUCUGCAAAGAAGCUUUAUCCAGCAACUGGCUUUGUUUACUAAACUGUAGCUCACAUUAGGAGUGGGAUUUAUUGCUCCCUAAUGCCAUCGAGAACCUUGCUGUGUCUGUGGAUGAGGCUCCAGAGUGUGCAACAGCAUUGACUUUCAAGUUGCUAUCGACCGUGCAGUUUUGGAAAACUUCCAUGUCGCCAAAAUAAACUGGAGACCGGAGGGAUGUACAACUCUCAAUCCUGUAGUACUGUGGAUCCUCCUAACAUCAAUCCCAUCGCCAUUGUUCUGAGUUGCAUUGCGAUACUAUGUGUGUUGGCCUGUGGAUCUGUUCUAUGGUACAGGAAGUGUAAAUCACCCACACCCAAUAAUGAUGUGGAUCUUAAAGAAAAUCAAGAAGUAAUACAACUGACCUCAAAUACCCCAGAUUGACAAUGGACCAUUUUAGGUGUGGAACCCAAAAUGGUAGAAGGUUAUAUUAUUGAUAUGACAUUAAAUAUCAGUUCAGCCUUCUGAUGGGACAUAAAGGGCUCAGUGAAGCUUGUUAUUUUCAAACCAAGCGUUGUUGGAAAUUAUAACUUUCCCUUCACAAUGAUAAGCUGGACUUCAGGGUUAUUUUAAUGGUGUUGAGAAAGACUGGGAGUUGUUCAAAUAUUUAAUCAAUAUGUUGAAAUCACUUCCGAAGGAAAAUGUUGGCACUAGACUAUGGCUUGCAAUUAAAAACAUUUUUGUAUUUUAUUUUGUUUUAGAAGUAGUGACCUGAAAUGCACUUUAAUAGUGUUGCACCUUUUUCACAAUUUAAAAUCUUGAUGUCCUCUUUAUAUCAAAAAUGUCAGGGAAAAAGACACAAAUGCAAAUAUAAUGUUAGAAAAGGUUAUUAUUUCUUAGCCACGCAAAUAUGCAUGCAAUGCCUUAUGUCGAACAAUCUGCCUGGGCUGACCAAGAAUGUUCUGGAUACUCUGUUGACGCCCCGGUUUGCACUUCUUCAAUACACACUCAGGGAUUGACUCUAUUCCAAUGACUCCUGUGUAACUGUAUUGGUGUAGCCACCACUGUUGAGCAGAACUGAAUCUGUCUGUCUUCAAUGUAUUUUAUAUUCCUGGUCCUGUAGUAGCGUUUAUCUUUCCUGAAAAAUGCCGUUUUUUUUAUAUCAUCUGCUUGUUGCAUUUGUUUUCCAUUAUGUUCCUAGUGCCUGAAAGAUUAAGAAGGUAAUGUUAGAUCACUCAAAACGUUCUGCACCGCUGAGAGAUCCCAAUGGGCAUCCACCUCUUUAAACACACUCGCAUACACACAGCUGUUACUCUGUUUACAAUCUACUCUAAUGCAUAGUCACUUUACACCUUUUUGGUCUCUCAUAAAAAAAAUGGUGGGUAUUGCUGGGUGUGUUCAUGUAGAGCUCACCGGCCCAACCUGGUUUUAAGAAACUGAUUGACAUGGGCUAUUUUCUCAAAGUGGGGGCAAAAGAAAGAUGCAGAAUGCUUAUUGUUUUUCUGAAAUAUUUCCAAACGUGGAGCUUAAUGUAUGUUCAUAUUUCUAUGAAAUAUUGUAUUGUUUUUCAAGAAAGAUCAUCUCCAUAAUGUAUUGUUAUUCAUAGGGGACUGUUAUUCAUGUUGAAUAAUGUAUUUCUUUUUUACAGUUUUUUGCUUGUGUAAUAAAUUGCAUUUUAAAGUGAUGUUCACCAAAUUGCAGUGUUUGUAUUGACCAGCAGAUGGCAAUCCCACACUACAGCUACAUGCUCAGCCGUCCGACUGAGACACCCGUAAACGAACACUGGUUAUUCCACUAUUAAAGUGCCAAUUUCAAACUUCUUUGUGGAAAGCGUGUUCCUACCGUAUAGAUGGAAACAGUUCUCAUCGGUUAAUCCUUGCAAUUAUAGCUUCUGGAUUUUGCGUUGCCGGUGCCGCCAGAGCCCUCUCCGUGUUGCAUUCACACUCAUGAGUUGGGCUGUCCACUCUCCGCUCCCCAAAGUAUUUCCCAUACCAGGCUGUGAAACUGCUUCUCUGGAUAAGAUGACAACUUCCCAGGCGGAAAUAUUGUUAGUGGCACAGUGCACACAUAAAACGCAUGAAUGAAUGUCCACACACUGACAACAAGUAUUGCUUUAGUGCUCUUGAUGGUGUAGCAAUAGUAUGACGAGAGGACCCGUAGCAGAAUUGAUGUCAUUUCUUAAGCCACUUUAGGAUGGUUUAAGUCUGAGACUAGUAGACUAGAUGUUGUAUUCCAGUUCCUAUAGCUACUUGCUUAAAGGCUACCACUGAGUUCCAGUCCAAUCAACACAGUACUGCCUCAUAUGUGUCCUGGUUUUCACCAAGGGAAUGGAGAACAAAUUCUGAAUGUGUUUCUUAAGUAUGUCCAGUGAUUCUUUUUGGAAUUAUUCCUUCAAGGUAUUUGUUCUCUUGUUAGCUAUGGUGGAAGGUUAUAUAAUAUAAUCUGUAUUCUUUUUGAUAUACGUUUUUCAUAUUUAAAUUGUGUAUUUCGGUUCUUUUAUGCGGC
ensembl:lncRNA